GGCACUUUGAAGCUACAUUUAAUGUUUUCUCCAAGUACAAAAGAAAAUGUAACUGCCAAAUUAUAAAUCAAGGCUAAGGUAUUGCCAAAUGGCUGUGAGAAUAAUAUAAAAAGGGUUUCGUUUGUCUGUUUGCUUUUUGUUUUUGUUGUGUUGUGUUGUGUUUUAGCUUCUGCACACGCAUGGUCUGGCAAGGCCGGCAGUGAAAAUUUAAAGAACAAUCUGAUAUCUGAAGAAGUCUGCCCUUGGCAAGGUAAAGGCAACACCUGACUGAUAUAUUGGCUUCCCACUGAGGUGUUGCAGUUAAGAAAAAAAGGUUCAUGCAUUUGCCUCAGUCAGUAUUGCUGUAAACCUAAACCUCACGGAAGGCUAUUAUAGCAUCGGGAACAGAUGGUGAAGAUUUCCAUAAAACAGAAAGGGAAACAGACUUGUCUGAAGUGAGGUCACUAUUCUCUUUCAUGAGGACUCUACUCUCGUGACCUAAUCACCUCCCAAAGGCCCUGCCUCCCAAUUCCAUCAGGCUGUGUGGAUGAACACUGCUUCCAGGACUCACAUAAUUGCACCUAAAGUCAUAGAAUGUUACAGCUGGAGGAACGCUGAGAGUUUGCCCAAGAUCCUUCCCCAGCAUUUUACAGCCCCUUGUGGAUCCAAGGCAAAGAAGCAGUGGCAAAGAAGUCAAACCUAAUUUCCUCUUGGCCCUACUAGGUGAUAUUACAGUCAAGGUGCAGCAUUUCUUACGUUAAUAAUCUGAAGUUCCUUUUCUGAGAAAAUAUACACGUUGUCUGAGGUCUUAAAAUUGUUUAGGUAUUGUAAUCACUCCAUAAUUAUUGGAUGUUAUUUUAAAUGCCUAAAAUUAUACCUGUGAGAUUUAAUAUUGAUAUUCCUACGAAUUACAUUUUGGUAAAUACAUAUCUUUUGAAGGGAGAGAGAUUUGGGAUUUGGGGUGAGUCUGAUCAUCUGUUUUUGUCUUCGUUGAUAUAAAAAUCUUCCAUUUCAAAUCUCUGGAAAAGCAUACACAUGGAGCAAAUGACUCAUUAAUUUAUCCUACAGUCAAAAUUAAAGCAGUACAUAAUUGCCAAAUCUUCAAUUCUUAUAAAACAGAGCUCUGAAUAUGUACUAAUUAUCUUCUGUGGAAAGGAAAUUCACUGAGAUUCAGUUAAGACUGCUUCACGCUCAGUAAGUUAAGUCUAUUGUGUUACAUACACCAGCUUGCGCAUGCUCCCUCCUUCCCUCCAACCCACUCAGCUCCCCUUUCUUCUCCUUUUCAACUGCUGACCUGAGUUAGUAGCCAAACAUAAUAAUACAGUGUUUGAUCCUCUGUAAACCCAUAAAAUUAUAAACCAGCAACCACCGGGAUGUUGGCAGAAUUUCUGUGGACAGCAACCAGCAUGGUGCUUUUUUCUUUCUGAAAUCAAGCAGUACAUUAUACUUGUUGAUACAACAGUGAGGAAGGUAAUGCCUUCCAUCAUCUCCUGGCCCCUACCUAACUCCUCUAGCCACUUGGGAUGGGGUGAGACAAUUCAUCUAUUUAAAAGAUUAAAGUCUCCAGGUGCCUGGGGGGCUCAGUCGGUUAAGCAUC